rnacentral:lncRNA from 1 species
AUCAAAAUGAGCAAGUCUUCAAUACUGUUAGCAUUAAGAAACUACUUCCAUUGAUCCUACAAAAACAGAUACCAACAAUAACAACUUGUUAGGUUUAAAUGUGUUUUAUGAAUUUAUUUCAAUCUUAAUCAUCACUUUCUUCGUCUGUUGAAACCUUGAAGAUUUUUUCUCAGUACCGUUUUGUUUUUAUAAAGGGACGAAACACCAUUACUAACCGUGUAUGAGAUAAGCCCCGCCUCCCUACUAACCUAAUAUCAAAUAUACACGGUCUCCACGAGGGCGCUUUUAACCAAUCACAUUCCUAGAAAUAUAUAGGAGGUAAGAAAA